GCACGCCACUGCCCUGGUUUGUAUUCACAUUUAUGUUAAGCAAAAAAAAGACAAAAAAGAUAAAAUAAUAAUUAUUCUAACAGGGGGGGAAGACAAACUGUAACGUCACCGAUUAUAAUUUCUAUCCACUAAUUUCUUUGUGGAAUAUUUUGUGUGGAAUAUUUCAUAUUUUGCUCAGGUUAUUCGUUUUGAAAUCAGGUUAGCUGAACAUGUACAAUGAGUAUUUUAUAACUCUAAAUUUUAAUUAAUAAGGCCAUUUACCAAGAUGGCCUGAUUGACCAAUUAGGAAUGUUGCUCAUCAUAACAAAAGCGUAAAAAUCACCUGGCUCAAUUUUGAAACAUUCAUGCUUCUCCAUGUUUGGAUAAGGUCAUACAAAUACUGAAAUGGUUUAAUCACUUGAGGAAAGUGCAUGCCCUAAGCCGGCAUCUUGUUAUAUGUAGCUUGUCUUACUGACACUUUUUAAAAUAUAAAUUGUAGAAAUGCUGUCAUGGGAAGCUCCUGAUGCUGAAUGCAUCACAUCUUUAGCUGACCAGUGUUAUAAAGACAAAAGAAAAUGUUCCUGAAAUGUUGAGUGAUAACGAUAUGUCCAAAAUAUAUUCUGAUGAUGAAAAUUCUGAUGGAGAUGAUUUUGAUCCCAAUUUCACCAGAGGAUUUCUUGACGACUAUUACCGUAUUCGCAAAGACGUCACUGAAAAAUUAAAACAAUUUUCUUGGAUAAAUGGAUAUUGCGGGAUAACAUUCAACCCAGAACCACGUUUGUAUGUGACUGUAGUAAAGGAGAGAAAAUGAUGAAGAUUCUUUGAAGAAUGAGAUCAGCGACAAAUUUGGAUGGAAAGCGUCUGAUUAUAUUGAUUUUCGUUAUGCCAACAGCUCAUUACCGACGUUUCUAUAUUUGUCAAAUCAAGGUAAAAGAAAAUAAAUGUCAUAAUGCUAUGAA